rnacentral:rRNA from 1 species
AACGAACGCUGGCGGCAGGCUUAACACAUGCAAGUCGAGCGCCCCGCAAGGGGAGCGGCAGACGGGUGAGUAACGCGUGGGAAUCUACCCAUCUCUACGGAAUAACGCAUGGAAACGUGUGCUAAUACCGUAUACGUCCUUCGGGAGAAAGAUUUAUCGGAGAUGGAUGAGCCAGCGUUGGAUUAGCUAGUUGGUGGGGUAAAGGCCUACCAAGGCGACGAUCCAUAGCUGGUCUGAGAGGAUGAUCAGCCACACUGGGACUGAGACACGGCCCAGACUCCUACGGGAGGCAGCAGUGGGGAAUAUUGGACAAUGGGCGCAAGCCUGAUCCAGCCAUGCCGCGUGAGUGAUGAAGGCCCUAGGGUUGUAAAGCUCUUUCACCGGUGAAGAUAAUGACGGUAACCGGAGAAGAAGCCCCGGCUACUUCGUGCCAGCCGCCACAGUAAAAC